UAGUUCGUGGGGUGACUUGUCUGCUUAAUUGCGAUAACGAGCGAGACCUUCCUCUGCUAAAUAGCCAGGCUAGCUUUGGCUGGUCGCCGGCUUCUUAGAGAGACUAUCAGCUCAAGCUGAUGGAAGUUGGAGGCAAUAACAGGU
rnacentral:rRNA from 1 species